CCUUSGGACCCAAAUGAAYUGAGUCCAAAGAUCAAAUGAUYCGAGCCAUUGAAAUUCGAUCCAACGGCUGCAAUUUUUAUAACUUUUAGAGGACCCCUUGUUUGUAGUCGUUGGAUCAAAUUUCAAUGACUCGGAUCAUUUGAUGAGUGGGCUCAGUUUCUUUGGAUCCCGAA
rnacentral:pre_miRNA from 1 species